rnacentral:rRNA from 1 species
UACGUAGGGUGCAAGCGUUACUCGGAAUUACUGGGCGUAAAGCGUGCGCAGGCGGCUUUGCAAGACAGAUGUGAAAUCCCCGGGCUCAACCUGGGAACUGCAUUUGUGACUGCAAGGCUAGAGUACGGUAGAGGGGGAUGGAAUUCCGCGUGUAGCAGUGAAAUGCGUAGAUAUGCGGAGGAACACCGAUGGCGAAGGCAAUCCCCUGGACCUGUACUGACGCUCAUGCACGAAAGCGUAGGGAGCAAACAGG